UUCUUUUAGUUUAUAAUUAAAGGUAAGUUCUGCCCUAUGAUUUUUUUAAAUGGCUGCAGUAUAUUGACUGUGCAAAGGUAGCAUAAUAAUUAGUCUUUUAAUUGGAGGCUGGAAUGAAUGAAUAAAUGAGAAGUUUAUUUUAUUAUAAUUAUUUUUGUAAUUUAAUUUUUAGGUAAAAAAGCCUAAUUGAUUUUUUGGGACGAGAAGACCCUAUAGAAUUUUAAUUUAUUAUUUUUAAUAAUUUUUUUAGUUUUUGUAUUAAUUUAAUUAUAUGUAUAUUUUUAUUGGGGUGAUAAAUAAAUUUAUCUUUAUUUUUAAGAAUCAUUAAUUUAUGUUUUAUUGAUCCAUUUUUAUUUGAUUAUAAGAUUAAAUUACCUUAGGGAUAACAGCGUAAUUUUUAUGAAGAGUUCAUAUUUAUAUAAAAGUUUGCGACCUCGAUGUUGAAUUAAGAUAAUUUUGUGGUGCAGUAGCUAUAAUACUAAGUCUGUUCGACUUUUAAAUUCUUACA
rnacentral:rRNA from 1 species